AUUGAACGCUGGCGGCAGGCCUAACACAUGCAAGUCGAGCGGCAGCGGGAAAGUAGCUUGCUACUUUUGCCGGCGAGCGGCGGACGGGUGAGUAAUGCCUGGGGAUCUGCCCAGUCGAGGGGGAUAACAGUUGGAAACGACUGCUAAUACCGCAUACGCCCUACGGGGGAAAGGAGGGGACCUUCGGGCCUUUCGCGAUUGGAUGAACCCAGGUGGGAUUAGCUAGUUGGUGGGGUAAUGGCUCACCAAGGCGACGAUCCCUAGCUGGUCUGAGAGGAUGAUCAGCCACACUGGAACUGAGACACGGUCCAGACUCCUACGGGAGGCAGCAGUGGGGAAUAUUGCACAAUGGGGGAAACCCUGAUGCAGCCAUGCCGCGUGUGUGAAGAAGGCCUUCGGGUUGUAAAGCACUUUCAGCGAGGAGGAAAGGUUGGUAGCUAAUAUCUGUCAGC
rnacentral:rRNA from 1 species